rnacentral:rRNA from 1 species
UACAGAGGUCUCAAGCGUUGUUCGGAUUCAUUGGGCGUAAAGGGUGCGUAGGCGGCGCGGUAAGUCGGGUGUGAAAUCCCGGGGCUCAACCCCGGGCCUGCAUCCGAUACUCCCGGGCUGGAGGCGGGUAGGGGAGAUCGGAAUUCCUGGUGUAGCGGUGAAAUGCGCAGAUAUCAGGAGGAACACCGGUGGCGAAGGCGGAUCUCUGGGCCUUGCCUGACGCUGAGGCGCGAAAGCUAGGGGAGCGAACAGG